GGGCGCUUAGCUCAGCGGGAGAGCGCUCCCCUUACAAGGGAGAGGUCGCAGGUUCGAGCCCUGCAGCGCCCA
rnacentral:tRNA from 1 species